UGCGCAGGCGGGCUUGUAAGUCAGUGGUGAAAUUCUGCCGCUUAACGGUAGAACUGCCAUUGAUACUGCAAGUCUUGAAUAUGGUUGAGGUAGGCGGAAUGUGUUGUGUAGCGGUGAAAUGCAUAGAUAUGACACAGAACGCCAAUUGCGAAGGCAGCUUACUAAGCCAUUAUUGACGCUCAGGCACGAAAGCGUGGGGAGCGAACAGGAUUAGAUACCCUGGUAGUCC
rnacentral:rRNA from 1 species